rnacentral:misc_RNA from 1 species
AACACUGUUAACCUGCGGUACCUGCGGAGGGAUCAUUAAAAAAACUUUUUGCCCUCGCGACUGCGGUCGUCCGAGGCAAAAAAAACCCACACUGUGUGCACCGUUACCGUUUUCUUUGGCAGGGGCUUGGGGUUGUGUUUCUCGCACGCCUCAACUUCUCCUCUGGCUCCAUCCUAAUUUGUAUAUGUUGGGACAGCCGGACAUGGGAGGCCGUACCCUGCCAAGUGACCCUAAAUCACU